GUCCACGCCCUAAACGAUGAUGACUAGUUGUUGGAGGAGUUAAAUCCUUUAGUAACGCAGCUAACGCGAGAAGUCAUCCGCCUGGGGAGUACGGUCGCAAGAUUAAAACUCAAAGGAAUUGACGGGGGCCCGCACAAGCGGUGGAUGAUGUGGUUUAAUUCGAUGCAACGCGAAAAACCUUACCUACCCUUGACAUGUCAGGAAUCCUCCAGAGAUGGAGGAGUGCCCGAAAGGGAGCCUGAACACAGGUGCUGCAUGGCUGUCGU
rnacentral:rRNA from 1 species